UGAUGGUGAAGAAAUUAUUUCUUUUUACAGCAUUUUUGGUCCUAAGUAGUGUGUUGCUAUGGUCACAGUUAUUUGUGAAGCAAGACUCAUUCGUGCUUGACCAGAAGAAUGUUAUUACAGAGGUGACUGCCUGCAAUAUUACAAAGGAAGAAAAUGAUAGUGGUCAGAAGGAUGAAUAUUACACAUUUAUUCUUACUCCGUGGCUAGGACAGAGAGAUGCCUCGCAAAAAUACCAAGUUCAUACAUUUGCUAUGAUAGCAAGUAAUUGGCAAAAUAUGACAGGACAGCCUCUCUGCUUUUGCAACACAGACAUCCGUGGAACAUUUACAUUGGCUUGCUGAUGUAGCUACCCACUGGUGUGGUCCCAUAUCUGUGAGCAUGAUUUGCCCCUGACUUAGAUUACCAGAUAGCAGAAGCAUACAUUUCCUAUUUAAGAAAAUGUUUCUCAGAUAUUACCAGCCAGGUCAGCCUCCACAUCAUAUAUCCAAUAGAUUUUCCACCUAUUAAUUCAUCAGAUUUUAAUGAAGGGCUUAGAAAACUUAUUCCAAAAACUUGC